AUGAGAUGCCAUGUCACCCACGGUUGGUUGUGCUGUGACACCACCUCUACAUGUGGCACCUCUGCUCACAUUGGGAUUUUGCUCUACAAGAAAAACUGCUUCGGUAGGCAGACAGGAAAACAGGGUUCUUUCUACGUGGGUAACUGGGAAAGAGUGAGCAGAAAGAAGGCAAAAGAAAAGGGGUGAUUAAACCAGCAAGGGAUGCAGUGUUUCACUCCUGGGAAGCUAAUCUAGCUUUUGACUUCUUCUGCUUUGAGAAUAGCCCCCAGCACACAGAGGUAGAGUCCAGGGCCACAAGUAUACAACAUAAUAACCCUGCAUGUCCUGGCUCCAGUAGAGACAGAGACUUGAUUGGAACAAGGAUAAUCUAAUCCUUUCUUGCUGAGAUACAAAAGUUGACAAGAGCCAAGCACGAUAGUACAGGCCUGUAAUCCCAGCACUUUGGGAGGCUGAAGCAGGAGGACCACAAAUUUGAGCCUAGACUCAGCAACUCAGUGAUUUAGCAAGACCCUGUCUCAAAAUAAAGUCUUUUAAAAAGGCAGAGAUGUAAGGCCCUUGGUUCAAUCUCCAGUACUUUCAAAAACUAACAAAACAACUUCUAGCUCUGGUUCUGUCUGUUCAAAUCUCACAUGUUCAAUUCAUCAUUCCAUUGCGGGUACGGGUCCCAUAAAGUCUUCCCGCUUCUUAUGCUAGUGAAUGUCAACUGACUGCAACCAAAAACAUGCCAAUAUGACUGCAAGGAAGUAAUGAAACAUGAAGGUUUUCAUUUUAAUGUACCAUAAGGAGGCAUUUCCUUGCUUCCUCUUACCCUGCUCAGAAACCAAACUUCUAGCAGGAUAAUCUUGCCUGCAUUGUGGUGACAUUAGAAUUCUCAUGCCUAACAUGCUUUUUCACAUCCUGCUUUUUUGCAAGAGAGCACAUUUACUCGACACAGAAGUCGCUCGUUUCAGCAGCAGUUCCCUGUCGAAGGCGCUGCUGUCAGGCAUCAGCACUUCCUGGCACCUCGUGACGCCUGCCCGGGCCAAGAACACCAGCUACAUGAUUGCUGAUUAACAGUGGAAGUGAUUUUCCCCUUAAAAGAUACUUAAUGCAAAUAAAAGGUGAUCAAACCCAGCCUGUUUCUGCUGUCCCUGUGAUUUUGCUUCUCCUGUUACUGAAAUCUUGUCACCCUUAUGGGCCCGUGGCAGUUUUAGCUCCAACAAUCAACAUCAAUAUUACCCAGUGUUUAUAACCUGCAUCACAGGACCGGGGUUUCUAGCUCAUUCUGAUACCCACCCUGCUAUAUUCCUGCCCCUUCUGCUGGCCUAGCCCUGUGUACAGCUCAGUUACUGUAAGUAAGCUUUUGUUUUAACACCUGCAGGGGUCCCUAGUCUGGUCCCUGCCUUGUCUCCUCCCUAGCACUGGGACACUGACUUUCAAUUUCCAGUCCCAACCCUGAGGACUGGUGUCAUAUCAAGAGCCCAGGACCCAUAGACAAAAUUCUUAGAGGCCACUCAUACAAAUAUGGAUGCAGGGAGGUCCCAUCCACUGGCCAUUCACACAUAUGCACCCUCUUCCCCCAGGGUCUGUGUGCUUCUCCACCCCGGAUGUCCAUGAACAACAGGUGGAGCAGAGGUCCUCGGGCUCUUCACCCACACGGCCAGCAAAGACAUUUCCUGGGUGUAGGUCGUGCUAGACUGGCUCUCACGAAGCACAGCUUCCAAGCAUGGACUCCUACUCCAUCCUGCACAACAGGAACAUCCGCCCUACACUAAAACUCGGGUUCACUCUCUCCUGCCACAACACAACAAGGCCUUACCACACCUACAGAGACAACAAAAUAAGUGAACUUGCACAAUUUA
rnacentral:lncRNA from 1 species